ensembl:lncRNA
GAGAGAGAGAGAGAGAGAGAGAGAGACAGAGACAGAGACAGAGACAGAGACAGAGAGAGAGAGAGAGAGAGAGAGAGAGAGAGAGCAAGAGAAAGGGAGAGGGAGCUAUAAAGAAAACCAGAGAGAGUGAGAGAGGCAUAGAGAACUAGAGAGCAAGAGAGCAAGAGUGCGAGAGAGAGAGUGAGUGAGUGUGAGUGACUCAGACAGAUAAUCUCUACUUGCCGUUCAGUGUCUAUGGAUGCCUGUAAGUGCUUUCUUAUUUCUCAUUAGGCAAUAAGCACCCAAGAUGUGUGGGGAAUUAGAGUCAAUGAAUGAAAAGCAAUACCUCCACCUUAAUAAUAUUACCAUCCCUAUUUAACAAGGCUGGAUUAUGAAUUAAUACAAUCAUAACACACCCAAACUCUACUUAGCCUAGUUGAAUCGGGCCAUUCACUGCUAAAAGACCUGUCCAAGUUCAGUAAAGGCUUUUAUUCUGUCAUAGUUUACUUGAACAUCUGUAUAACUGUCCCCUCCUUACAUCAGGAAUCGCAGUUAUUCAAUAUGUUUGUGUUUCUGAGGAGGGAUGUCAGGAAUCUGUCAUUCUUUUAGGAUUGAUUCCGAGGAUUUCGGAUACAUUGAAGGUUGCCAGGUUUACACCGUGGGUGAAUCUGCCAUGAAGCCAUGAGAUCCAACGCAGAGAAAACCCAGAGCUGGUAAAUACAAGGGGAAAAGUUAUGUUUGCAGAAAAGACAAAAAAAACAAGGUGAAACAACGGGAUUACAGCAGGCCUGGGAAGGGCUGAGGGUGGGGGGGUGCAGAGAGAGAAGCGCGAGGGAUUAUUCAGUGAUGUUGCCUGUGCUUGGUCAGCUUGUUACUCACGCAUGGAGUGGCUUAGAUUUUUGAUAUUUUUUCUACGUUCUCUGUCCCGGCAAUUCUUCAACUGAGCCGAUUACCAUGCCAGAUACAUUUCACAAGCCACAGGGAGCUGGAAGCAGACAGAGAUAAAGCGGGUGCGUGUCAGAGAGGGGAGAAUAGAGAGAGAGAAAGAGAGAGAAAGGGAUAGAGAGAGAAAGGGAUAGAGAGAGAAAGGGAUAGAGAGAGAGAGAGAGAGAGAGAGAGAGAGAGAGAGAGAGAGAGAGAGAGAGAGAGAGAGAGAGAGAGAGAGAGAGAGAGAGAGAGAGAGAGAGACAGAGAGAGAGAGAGAGAGAGAGAGACAGAGACAGAGAGCCAGAGAGAGACAGAGAGACAGAGAUACAGAGACAGAGAAAGAGAGAAAGAGAGAGAGCGAGAGAGCGAGAGAGAGAGAGAGAGAGAGAGCGAGAGAGAGAGAGAGCGAGAGAGAGAGACGGUAGUGACCUAAUGACAACCAUCACUGUGUGGGCUGGAGCACAAUUAUUCUAAUAGCAGUUUAGCCGUGAUCAAAAGGCAAAAAGAGGAGCUCUGCUGCAGUGUCAAUCAUGACGCUAAGCUAAAGCCCACAGCGGAGGUGCCAGGCAUUUACUGGCAGAGGAAUGUAUGUUUUUCCGUGUUAUUUUUUUAUGGUUUUAAAAAAUACUCAAAUAUACCCUGCCUGCACGCAUCCUGUGCUGAAGCCAUGAGGCUUGCUGUUGGCGGACCCCGGGAUCCCUGUUGGCUAGCCUGGAGCAAACACAAACCAGGAGUCAAUCACCAUUUGGUUGACCGCACCGGGAACGUGCUAUGUAUUUUCCCCCCCUAUACCCCCCAAUUCGUUUAUGGUCGCUCCAAUGUCUUUGGGCAGGGUCUGAGGUCAGCUUCAGCUUCAUGGACAAUUCACGCUCGGCAGCUCUCACUAAAGACCAGUUAUCAGAUGUUUGAACGUGUUGGUGGUGCAGGUGGAGGGGUAAGUACAGCAGGGUCUGUUUUGUUCUUCAGUGUGCACAGAGCUUUGCUGUGAACACAGUCGAGCCCGCAAAAGACUAGUCCUCAGUGGUUUGGCUCACAGGGAAAAAAGACUGAACGUGAGAGUGGAAAUUCUGUUUACACACCUGAAAUAAAAGCUAAAGCUUUCGGGUGUUCUCCAGCCAGGAGACUAUAACUAUUCUGCUACCAUUAAGGCCAGAAUAUCGAGAUGUUCCAGAGACAUUUCAUUGGGUGAGAUGGUGAAGCGAAUGGUGGAGUGUUUUCAUUCGGAGCGGCUGACCCACUUUGUCUUUAGAUCUUUUGAAGGUGUAUAUCUAAUCGCAUAUACGGUCACACAUUAUUCAAGGAACACUAUGGUUUGUAUCCGUUAUAGCUCUAGCUACAAACAACAACAGCUAUUAGUCGUCACGAGGUAGCUCUAUAACAACAUCGAACGCCAACUGAUUUAAUCAUCUCACCAACGGCAGUUAAAUUAUUCGAUGAGAGGCUCUGGUCCGAUGCCACCAACGAGAGAGGGUGUGGGGUCCCCGGGACACACACGGUGAUUGAAAAAAGGACGAGGCGCUGUGCUGUUAAAAGGACAUCCAACUGGUUCAUGGCAGCUAGACAAGGCAGAUGGAUUGACCACGGGAUGACCUCUGACACCGAAACCUCACAAAGCAAGGUCGUGGAUUCUGUCCAGUGGACAGAACCGAGCUACGAAAUACAUGAUGCUGGCCCCUCACAGAAAAAUUAUCCACCUCAGACAUAUUUCAUCUCCUCUUUCAUCCUCACACACUUAUUGGAACGGUUUCAAUGAAGUUUUUGAGCCGUUUGUUUUCUGACCGUUUAACCUUCUAAUUUGGUCACAAACAAAUGUAUUCCUCGCCCUUCCUUCUUACUGAAUGAUGUGUGUGCGCACACACAGAGAGUCCCUGACUGUCACAAUGUGUUGAUAUCAACAAUACGACACGAUCACAGCCCCCUCAUGUCGAUUGACACAUCGACAACCCUUUGCGCUGACAACCCCGAAUCAAUGGUUCGCCCACAUGCAGGUAGACAGCAAGUGCUGUCACGAUGAACAGCACUGGGUAGUGGUACGUUUUAAGAGCAGCACUUAUUCCAGUGGGACAUCAACGCUGGAGAAUUACAGACUGAGAAAGAGGGUCUUCCGACGCAAUGGGAGGUUUCUAAAGAACACAUUGUUCCUAGGCAGAGAUAAAAUAACAGGGCAGAGACAUGGCGUCAAAAAGUGCUUAAAAAUACGUCUGAGAGAGGAAAUUAGUAACAAGGAAAUAAGGAGAAAUAAGACCGAAGGAAACCAAAAUAAAGAAAUAAGGAAAUCAAGAAUGAAAGAAAUAUGGAGAGACAGAGAGCAGGAGAAAGAAAGAAAUUGAGAAGAGAGAGAGAGAAAGAGAAAGAGAAGGAGACAGAGAGCGAAAGAGAAGGAGAGGGAGAGAGAAGUGGAAGGAGAGAGCCCAUAUGAAACGAUACCGGGGAUGAUUAAUACUGCACCUGAAGGCCUCUCUGAGUGGGGGAGCAUCUAUAUUUGGGCGGGGAAGGCAUCUGUCAUAGCAUGCCUCCUGGCAAGGUGCAGACGGCCCCCAAGGACGCCUCAAAAUGUUUUUAUUCUUUAAUGCACCGAAAAAAAUACGGGAAAGUGAGCGUGGAGUUGACGUUAUUAAUUACUCCAGCCGCGGUGUGUGCACUCUGAGCCGGUUUGCACAAGGCUGAUCCGAGGCCUGCCGCAGGGGAGUUUAGCAUCAAGUGGAUUAAAACAUCGCGGCUCUCAGUUACAGCCCCUACAUGUGGGCCGGGCCCGCCUGACGUUCAACCGUAUCUGGUGCGAAUGACUUUACUCGUAACUGAGAUUAUUUCUUUAAAUACCCGUCACAAGUUUGCAUGUCGGGUAUGAAGAGUGCUUUUUUUUGCGGCCCCUAGCACAUUGUCGGCUGGGGCCUCUUUCCAGUACGCAACGCUGUUCAAACCCCCGUCGUGUAUCCGCAAGAGGCCCGACCGCUUUCCUCCUUUGGAGCGAUGAAACGCCCGCCUUCUGAUCACAAAGUACAACCCAACCCAGAGACGGAAUGCAAACACACACACACACAGGCACACACACACACACAACCAAGAGAGAGCAAUGCACACACACACACACACACACACACACACA